UACGGGGGGGGGCAAGCGUUGUUCGGAAUUACUGGGCGUAAAGGGCCAGUAGGCGGCCAACUAAGUCGGAUGUGAAAUCCCCAGGCUUAACCUGGGAACUGCAUCCGAUACUGGAUGGCUUGAAUUCGGGAGAGGGAUGCAGAAUUCCAGGUGUAGCGGUGAAAUGCGUAGAUAUCUGGAGGAACACCGGUGGCGAAGGCGGCAUCCUGGACCAACACUGACGCUGAGGAGCGAAAGCCAGGGGAGCAAACGGG
rnacentral:rRNA from 1 species